CUGAACCAGCCAAGUAGCGUGAAGGAUGACUGCCCUAUGGGUUGUAAACUUCUUUUAUAAAGGAAUAAAGUCGGGUAUGCAUACCCGUUUGCAUGUACUUUAUGAAUAAGGAUCGGCUAACUCCGUGCCAGCAGCCGCGGUAAUACGGAGGAUCCGAGCGUUAUCCGGAUUUAUUGGGUUUAAAGGGAGCGUAGACGGGUUUUUAAGUCAGUUGUGAAAGUUUGCGG
rnacentral:rRNA from 1 species